UGCACAUGCAGCUAAAAUCACUUUCACAAACAAAUGUUCCUACACUGUCUGGCCAGGAACCCUAACCGGUGACCAAAAACCUCAAUUAUCACUCACUGGGUUCGAGUUAGCAACCGGAAUUAGCCGCUCUGUGGACGCUCCGUCCCCAUGGUCCGGUCGCUUCUUUGGCCGAACCAGGUGCUCCACGGACGCAUCAGGAAAGUUCACUUGUGCCACCGCAGAUUGUGGUUCUGGCCAAGUCUCAUGCAACGGUAACGGCGCAGCUCCGCCAGCUACAUUAGUAGAAAUCACUAUUGCUUCGAACGGGGGUCAAGACUUCUACGACGUUAGUCUUGUUGACGGCUUCAACUUGCCCAUGUCCGUGGCUCCACAAGGCGGCACCGGCGACUGUAAGGCGUCAACUUGCCCUGCCGAUAUUAACAAAGUGUGCCCGGCUCCGUUACAAGUGAAGGGAUCUGAUGGAAGCGUAAUUGCGUGCAAGAGCGCUUGCUUAGCAUUCAACCAGCCAAAAUACUGUUGCACUCCACCUAACGACAAGCCGGAGACAUGCCCUCCCACUGAUUACUCUAAGCUCUUCAAGACCCAGUGCCCUCAAGCUUAUAGCUAUGCUUAUGAUGACAAGAGCAGCACCUUCACAUGCAGUGGUAGACCUGACUACCUCAUCACAUUCUGCCCAUAAGCAUAUAUAUAUAUAUAGAAUGGGAUCUUAUAUGAUAUGAUAUUAUACAUAUAGUUCCCAAUAAAUAAAUUUCCUGGAUCUUGACACAUUGUUGAUGUCAAGAAUUUGUAAUGCAGACGAUCAAAUAACGUAAAUGUUUGGAUUUUAUUUUCGUUCAUGGCUUUCAAAUUUUUGUUUCCUUCAUUUCUUUAUAUGAUGCAUUAUUUCCAGCAACAAAACAUGAGCAUAAUAUAAAGAGAGUUAGCUGCAAUUGAAAUGGUUAUCAAACGGGAGUUUAAAUACGGAUUGUAAUUUUCUGUCAUGCCUGGUGUUGAUGCGAAAAAGUGGUUUGAUACGUAAUUCGUCAACUUAGUCAAAAUGUCCCUUCGGUAGGUCCCCGUCCUUGGUAAGUGGUCCACUCCAGAGGGUCAAGUACCUGCAAAAGGACGCGUUCGGUAAAUCCUUGGGGUACCGGUGCGGUACCGGCCGAAGGCUCUCCGAUGCCUAAAUGAGUACGGAUUUAGUAAGGUUAACUGACAGAUCACACGAUAGCGUACCGUUAGUUCUUCUUCUUCCCUUUUGGGGAUAUGGGUCUCCUUAUAUAGACCUUGGGAGGUGUGCUUUGUGCUCAUUUUUCCGAUGUGGGACUCCAAGCAUGGAUUGUGAACAUGACACGUGUCUGUUGGUAAAAAGGGCCAAGAUAUAUAGCUUCGGUAGUGAGCAUGCCGUAGGGGCCCUGUGAUCAGAGUGGAUCCUGUCCACGUGUCCGGUGGAAAUAGGCCGUUUAAUUAGGUAUAAACAGUAGUCCCUCAAGUUCUCUUUCGAAGGUUCUUCGGAAGGGAAUUUGGUUUUCCUUGGUAGUUCGGAGGUUCUCCUGCCGUUCGGCAUGCUCAUUUGGGGGGAGGAAAGGCGCUUGAGUUGUUCCUUUCGGAAAGUAGUGUUCUGGGAAAAUCGGUCGGGGACUUGAAGGGUCGCCAAUGUUGAGAGGCGAGAGGGCAGAGAGACGCUUCGUCUUCCGUGCCUGGCGCGCAGAUAGAGGCGCCAUUUGCCGGGUGACGCGUGGCCAGCAAUAACACGCCUGUUGGUGCAUUAAUGAGCCGUUUCGUCUCCCGAGGCGUACCGUUACAGUUCUCCCUCUAUAAAUAGAGGUUGCUCUGUAUGAAAAAAUUCACUUUGCAAUUGUGAGUUUGCGCGAGAGCUCUUGAGUAGGCGAUUUUUGAAGUGUGCGAACGGCAAGCAAGGCGAUUUUCGAAGCGUGCGAACGGUAAGCUAGGCGAUUUUCGAAGCGUGCGAACGGCAAGCUAGGCGAUUUUCAUAGCACUCAAGGUAAGAUACCGUUCGGUACCCCUGAAUUUUGUUAUACUUCUGUAUAUGGCAUAGGCUCGCCGAUCGUUAAGUAGGAUCUUCCUUCGGUAGUCUAGUGGCCAUAGGUAGAGAAGUAGGUAUCUGUAGGAUAGCGCAGCACGCACCUUAGUUUUUCCCUUUUUCUUGUUUUGUAGAUGUCCGAUAGCGAGUCACCGUUCGGCGAUGAGCCCAACGCUUUCGACGGGGAGCUAUCUUCCGGCUGGGGUACGUCCAGCGAGGCCGUGAGCCUCGGCGCCGAGGGCGGGGAAGACUCCGAUGCCGAGCUAUUCGGUGAGGAGGCGGAUUCCAUUCCCACCCACGGCAUCGGUAAGGGGUUCAUGACGGGGCACCCGUUACCCCUGGUCGCGGUGUACAGGGACGGUACCCGUGUCGUGCCGUCUGAGCACCAGCCAGAGGCUUCCACCUCCGGCAAUGAUGAGUGUGUUGCCGGUCCCUCUCGGCCGAGAGUUACGAUCGUCCACCGAGAGCGGUAUAGGAUACCGGUGGGCAUACCGCAGAAGACCCUGUUCGGGGUUGAUUAUUUGGGGCCGAACAAACUUACCGAACGGGAGCUUCAAAAGAUUAGGGCCGAAUACCUCAUUCCUGACUCGGUGAAGAUGAGGGUCCCGAGCCCGGUCGAGUCCCUCAGCGACCCUGGGGAUGGUGAAGUCGUCUUCUUCACCGAUAUGCUGGUGCAGGGGGUCAGGUUGCCGUUGCAGCCUGCCGUUCAGAAGUUACUUGCCCAGAUUGGGUAUGCCCCGGGCCAAUAUAACCCCAACUUUUGGGUGGCCCUGAUGGGGGUGAUAACGGCCUUUGGGAUUGCCGGGGAGGGGGAGCCUUCCUACGAGCAAUUCUCCUACCUCUACAGCGUCACUAAGUCGAAGAGUGCCGACCAUGGUGGCUGGGUUCAGGCGAACUGCCUGAAGGCUUCCGAGCGAGGUCACUUCGUCAGCUCGGUGCCGACUUCCCAGAAGUCGUGGAGGAAUCGGCGGGUGCUACUCUCUGGCCAAUGGGAAUCGCCAUCAGGAGUACGCCCGCAGUCCCCAGUACCAACGACUUUCCAAACCGCCGGUAGGUCCCUAGUUACCGAUCGGCAGGUCCCUAGUUGCCUUUCUGUUUUCUUUUUAUAUUUGCUCACUCAUUCUUUAUUCGGACAGGCAAACUCAAGCAGCCGACUCCUACACAAGACGAGAUUCGGCAGAUCGACAGGGUGAGGCUGAAGGUCCCUGCCGCCGAGCGAGUGUACCCGCGCUUCCUUUUCACCAAUAAUCUCAUCAGAGCCGGGCUCGUCGACCCUGCCGAGAGUAAGUGUACUUGUUGCGCUUUUCUUCCUCUUCUCUUUUUUUGUGUGCUUGCCGACUGACUGAUUGUUUUUGGCCAGUGACGGACGCAAGGAGGGCUGCCGAGGCCAAGAAGAUGAACGAAUCUUCCAGGAGGCGCCUCAUGAUGGGCCUCGAGGGCAAGAAGAAAAAGAAGCAGCUCGAGGCCCCUGCCGUUCGGUCGUCGACGGACCCCGAGGAGGUGACCCUCGCUGAGCGUAUGCGGCAGUUGGGCGCUGAGCCUGUCGCAAGGCCGGCUGUCGAUCCCCAUGCGCCGAGGCAUGCCGUCGCCGAUGCCGUCGCCUCAAGGGCUGCCGGGAAGCGGCCGAUAACGGUGGAUUUGGAAACUUCUCCGGCGUCCAAGCGAAGCCGUCCGUCAGACGCUUCCAGGGCCGUCUUUGCGGCGGAGGACGAGGAUGGGCCUACCGAGGCCGUCACUCUCGCCUGCCCCUCGAAGACGGUGCAAUUCGUCAACCAUAUGAUCCUCGGUUCUCAGAUGGAGCUGCCGGAGGUUGACGAGUUGCCGAAGAAGGUUCUUCGGGAGCAGGCUGGACGCGCCUUCCGACUGCAAGCAGCAGUAAGAAUUUAUCUCCCGGUGUUGUCCUUUCAUUAUUUUUUUUUCGGUGCCAAGUGGGGCUUCAAACUAUCUUCCUCGUGUGCAGGCGUCCAUGGAGAUGUGGCUGUGUGUCAAGCGGGCCAUCUCCGCUGCCGAACGGGCAAAAAAGGACUAUGACGACGGCAGGGCUAAGGUUGCCGAGGCUGGAAAGGCUAUCCAGGACCACGCCCAGCUGCUAAAGGAGAAAGAGGCUGCCGAACGGCGGGCUCUCACUUCGGAGGCGACGGUGGGCGAGAUGCGGGCCGAUCUGGAGGCAGCGCGGGCGGCUCUGGAGGCAGCGCGGAUGGCAGCGCGUGAUGCCGAGGCCGUCUCGGAGGCGGUUCAGGACGCUCUGCAGGAGUCCGAGCGGACCAAGGCUGCGGAGGUUGAGGCUGCCAUUCAAACGGCAAUCCAGGGAUACCGUUCUUCCGAGGAGUUCACUGUCCUCCUGGACAGGGAAGUUGGCUCCGAGAUGGCGGGUAUGUUGUACCGAUUCAAGCGGUACAACCCUGGUCAGAAGCUGAACCUCAACUUCGCUGCCGAUCCCCCUCCCCUUCCCGAGGGAAUAACUGAGGAGAUGAUCGAAGACUACGAGGGGGAGGAUGCUGCUGCUGACGAAGCCUGAGGGCCUCUGUAAUAGUUUUAGCCUGUCUUAUUUUUAUUGUUAUUUUGUAUCUGUACCGAACGCCUUGAUGCCGAGGGCAUCUUUAAAUUAGAUGUGCAUAUUUUGUCUAUUUUUGUCUUUUCGAUUUGAUUUUGUUUUAUCGCCGAUAGGAUUUAUAACGUUAUAGAAGUAGCUUUCGAAAUUGUCAAGUUUCGAUGGAAUCUGUAGGGUGACAAUUUCGAAAAUACCUCCUGCCGUAGGUUAGUAAAGAUGCCCCAGAACGUUAUCUUGCUUAUAUUGGCAGCCGUAGGCUAGUAGAGACUGUAACAAGAGUUUCUGAAGCAAUAGUGCCGAAGGCUUUCUAUUUAUCUUUGCCGAAAGGCAUUUACAAUUUUGUCCUACCGUAGGCUAGGUUGCAACUCUGUCCUGCCGUAGGCUAGGUUACUUGAAAUAGUACUUGAGAUGUUCCACGUUCCAAGGAUGACCGAGGGUCUUGCCGUUGGAGUCUCUUAGGCGGUAGGUUCCCGAUCGAAGGAUACCGAUGAUCUCGUAAGGUCCUUCCCAGGAAGGUCCGAGGGUUCCUUCCGUGGCAUCCUUAGUUGCUAGGGACACCUUCCUCAUGACCUAAUCACCGGCUCGGAAUGAACGGUGUCUGAUUCUGGAGUCGUAAUACCGAGAGACGCGUUGCUUGUAGGCUUCGUUUCGAAGGUUGGCAUGUGCUCGGUGCUCUUCCAGGAGGUCGAGGCUUAGAGAAAGUGCUGCUUCAUUUGGCUCUGGUGCGAAGGUUUCCGUUCGGUAGGAAGGUUCGCCAAUUUCUACCGGCACAACGGCUUCCGAACCGAAAGCCAAAGAGAAAGGGGUUUCUCCUGUGGACGUUCGGUAAGAGGUCCGAAUGGCCCAGAGCGCUUCGGGAAGCUUUUCUGGCCAGGCUCCUUUGGCUUUGUCCAGCUGCCGUUUUAGCAGUUUCUUGAUGAUUUUGUUUAUCGCUUCUACCUGACCGUUCGACUGGGGAUGGGCCGGUGAUGCGAAAAACAAGUUGAUCUUCAGGCGGGUGCAAAAGUGCCUGAAGAGUUCCGAAUCGAACUGCCUGCCGUUGUCGGUGAUGAUUGCGUACGGGAUACCGAAACGGCAACAAAUGUGAGUCCAGACGAAGUCCUCUACUCUUGCUGCCGUUAUGGUUGCAAGAGGUUCGGCCUCCACCCAUUUGGUGAAGUAGUCGACGGCAACCACAGCGUAUUUCACCUGGCCUUUACCUUGUGGCAUCGGACCGAUCAGGUCUAGCCCCCACUGUGCGAAAGGCCAAGGACUCACGAUCGGUGUCAAGGGUUCGGCGGGGAUAUGCUGUAUGUUGCCGAAACGCUGACAUUUAUCGCAUUUCUUCACAAGUGAAUUGGCGUCCUGGUGCAUGGUCGGCCAGAAGUAUCCCUGCCGAAAGGCUUUGUGUGCGAGUGACCGGGACCCAGAGUGAUCGCCGCAAACACCAUUGUGGAUUUCCCGGAGAACGUAGCUCCCCUGCUCUGCCGUAAGGCACUUGAGAUACGGAGUCGUGUAGCCACGUUUGUAAAGGACGUCGUUGAUGACGGUGUACCUUGCCGAUCGGUAUCUAAGCUUUCGGGCCUGGGCCUUGUCCUCUGGAAGGGUGCCGUUGGUUAGGUAUGAGUAGAUAGGGGACAUCCACGUAUCCUCGUACCGUACGGUACAUAUUUCGGAGGUUGCCGUGCUUGGUUGGGCAAGAAUUUCCACCGGCACCUUUCUUCCGAUUUUGUCAUUGAUUGCCGAGGCUAGUCGCGCUAAAGCAUCGGCAUGACUGUUUUCGCUCCUGGGGAUCUGUUUGAUCUCAUAGGCUCGGAAGCUCUGGAGCAGCUGGUGGGUGGACGAAAGGUAGGCGUUCAUGGAGGCGUCUCUGGCGGCGAAGUCCGCCGUUACCUGGUUCACAAUGAGUUGGGAGUCACUGUGUAUCUUGAUCUGUUUUGCGUUCAUGCUCUUGGCUAAACGAAGGCCGGCCAAGAGAGCCUCAUAUUCUGCUUCAUUGUUGGAGGUUCGGAAGUUGAAUCGGAGGGCGUACUCGAUCUUGAGUCCCUCCGGUGUUGUCAGAACCAACCCUGCUCCACACCCCUGUUGGUUUGCCGAGCCGUCGACAUGCAGAGUCCAUACAGGAUUUGAGGCGUCGAGCCGUUCGGCGUCUACCUCCAUCGGUGCCGCGGUUUCGGUAACUGGCUCGGGUAUUUCCUGUGUCGUUGGUGGGGUGAGCUCGGAGAUGAAAUCGGCAAUGGCCUGACCUUUUCGGCUGGCCUUGGCACGAAUUGUAUAUCGAAUUCUCCGAGUUCAAUCGCCCACUUGAUCAAUCGGCCGGAAGUCUCUGGUUUUUGGAGUACUUGCCGAAGCGGUUGGUUUGUCAGGACAUUGAUCCCGUGUGCUUGGAAGUAUGGCCGAAGUUUUCGUGCCGAGAUCACCAGGGCUAGUGCAAGCUGCUCUAAUGGGGGAUAUCGAAGUUCAGCGCUCUGGAGUGCCUUACUGACAUAGAAGAUCGGUAGCUCUGCCCUCUCCGGUUUUCGGAUUAACACCGAACUGACGGCAGUGUUAGAUACCGAGAGGUAUAGGUAAAGAAUCUCCCCAGGCAGUGGUUUUGACAGGAGAGGUGCUCUGCCCAUAUAGUCUUUUAAGUCUUGAAAUGCUUUAUCACAUUCGGCAGUCCAUAAGAUAUUCUGUUUGCCCCCUUUCAAGGCUUUAAAGAACGGUACACAUUUGUCGGUAGCCUUGGAUAUAAAGCGAGUCAGGGCAGCCACUCGUCCGGUAAGGCUUUGGAUGUCCUUUGUUGUUUUUGGCCUCUCCAUGUCGAUGAUGGCCUUUAUUUUUUCGGGGUUCGCUUCGAUACCCCUGUGACUAAUCAUGAAUCUGAGGAAUUUCCCGGAAGACACACCGAAGGCGCAUUUCAUCGGGUUUAACCUCAUUCGGUAGCCCUUCAGGAUACCGAACAUGAUAGACAGAUUGUGCAGGUGUUCUUCGGCUGUUCUGCUUUUCACCAACAUGUCGUCAACGUAAACCUCCAUGAUGCUGCCGAUGUGUUCGGCGAAGAUUCUGUUGACAAGCCUCUGAUAUGUUGCCCCCGCGUUCUUCAAGCCGAACGGCAUGACGUUGUAGCAGUACAACCCUCUGUCAGUGAUGAAGGCGGUGUGCUCGCUGUCGGGGGGGUGCAUAAAAAUCUGGUUGUACCCUGAAUAGGCGUCCAUGAAGCUGAGCAGCUCGUGUCCUGCCGUGGCGUCCACGAGCUGGUCUAUUCGGGGUAACAGAAAGCUGUCCUUCGGGCAGGCCUUGUUCAGAUCGGUGUAGUCUUGGCACAUUCUCCAGCCGCCUGUACCCUUUCGAACCAUGACUGAGUUCGCCAGCCAUACCGGGUACGUAACUUCCCUGAUGAAGCCGAUGGUUUGAAGUUUGUCAACUUCCGUCCGCAUGGCUUCGUACCGUUCGGCAUCAUACAAACGGCGCUUCUGCCUUACAGGUUUGUAGGUUGGGGAAAUGCUGAGUUUAUGGCUGAUGAUUUCAGGGUCUAUGCCGGGCAUGUCUUCGUAGGACCAUGCGAACACUUCCGAAUGGUGCCGUAAGAAGUCUAUAAACUGCGCUCGGAGGGCGGGGGUCAGUCUGGUACCGAUUUUAACCCGACGAUCGGGCUGUUCAUCGCUCAGGGUUAUCGUCUCCAGUUCUUCGACGGGUUGCGUAUAAGGAGUUGGUGACUCAUCUCUUGGGUCGUCAACUGGUCCGUUGCCGUUCGGCAUCCCCUGCACAGACAUGGUCUUGUCUGGGAUUUUGAGAGAGGUUGAUUUGAUCGCCGUGGCGUAGCAAGUCCGUGCGCUCAGCUAAUUUCCCCUGACAGAUCCUACGCCAUUUGGGGUCGGGAAUUUCAUCAACAGCAUGUGUGGGGAAAGAUGCGCCUUUACCCUGGUCAGUGCCGUUCGCCCAACAAUGACGUUGUACGCCGUCGGGCAGUCAACGAUGAGGAACUUGUCAUAUACCGUCGUUCUCUUUGGCGCGGUGCCGAAGGUAAUUGGGAGCGUUACGCUACCGACCGGUUGGACCAUGUCCCCGGAGAAACUUAGCAAAGGCGUCAACUGCCGGUUGACCUGGCUGUCCUGUAUUCCCAUUUCUCGGAAAGCUUCGGCGAAGAUUACGUUUACCGAGCUCCCUGUAUCAAUCAGUACUCUCCCUACAUCGUAAUCGGCAAUUUCUGCUCGGACGAUCAUUGGGUCGUCGUGGGGACAGAGAAUGCCCUGUUCCUCUUCUUUGCAAAACGUGAUCGGCUCCCAAUGAUCCUUCGGUGUUUCAUGGUGGCGAUUCACCUCUAUGCCGAACACCUGGGGAAACUGUGCGGCACGCACGUACUGCUUCAUCGAGCGAUUGCUCAGUCCUGCGAUGGUUGGGCCGCCGCUGAUAGUGCUUAUCAUGUUUAUCUGCCGAUUUGCGUUCGGCUCCGGCGCCGUUGGCUGCCGGGCGAUAUACUGGUCUAGCUUCCCCUCUCGGAUCAAGCGUUCGACGAUCUUCCUCAGGCUUAUGCAGUCUUCUGUAUUAUGGCUGUUGUGCUGAUGGUAUCGGCAGAAUUUACCGGUAUCCCGGUUGUCUUGCCGAUUGGGCCUUCGUUGAUUCGGCUUGGGUAUUUUUUCCUGUUCGUUCAUCAGGACGGCCUCGUAGGUAGUAUUCAACAGGGUGAAGACCUCAUUGCCAUGAUCCCGAUUCGGCAGGGGGGCUCGGUUGUCGUUGCGACUGUACCUCCCUUUUUCUUUCUUUGGGUGCUCCCUUCGAUCUGCACGAUCAUCCUUCCUCUUAUGACCUGCCGAGUAGGUGUCGACUCGCUCAUAAGGCGUUGCCCUUGCCGGAUAGGCACUUGGUUCCGCAUUUCCUUGCGGUGCCGAAACCGUGGGUUUCGAGUUGAAGUAUUCGGCCUUGGCGUGGAUUGCUGCCUGCUUCAUCAGUUCAUCGUACGUGCGCCAGUUGCUACUGUGCACCAGGUAUCGAAAAUGAGAGGACCGAAGGCCACUCUUGAAGGCGCCGUAGGCUGCCCUAUCAUCCGUUUCCGGACACCUUGAGUACUCGUGACUGAAACGCGCCGCGUAUUCUCUCAACGGUUCGUCCUCCCUUUGCCGAAUCGUGUACAGAUCAUCGGCGGAGUAGAGACGGUCCGUUUGGAUUAUGAAGUGAUUGAGGAAGAUCUGCUUCAGCUCAUCAAAGGAUGCUACCGUUUCCGGCUCUAAACGGUAGAACCAGUUCAAGGCUGCCCCGGUAAGGGAAGACGGGAAUAGCAGGCACUGCCCCUCAUCGCUCAAGCCCUUGCAUCCAAUAGCGGACUGGAAUGAAUGGAGGUGUGUCAAAGGGUCCUCCGUUCCUGUGUAGAACGUUAUACGCAGUUGCUGCACUUCCCUGUCUUGCCGAGAAUCCCGGAUGCGCCUUGUGAACGGUCCGGGCCGAAGCUUUCCCCAUUCCGGUUCUUGGGAGCGCGCAUUGUCGUUUUCCAUUUUCUGGACCUUCUGAAAAAGGAGUCGGAUCAUGGGGUCUCGGCUAGGGACUUCUUCGGAACCGUAAUCUUCCGAUUGUCUUUGUAGGUUUAGUGAAUUAUCCCCCGCAUACCGCGAUGGUGUUUCCGAACGGUAGUCGGGGGGAAGUGUCUUGGAAGGGAUGUACUCGGACUCCGAAGACUCGGCGGGGCCCAAUCCCCUGACCUUCCGAAUAGGCGACUUAUCCCCUAGGUUAUUCAUCCGUGAUUCCCUUAUUCGAGCGCCAAUCCUGAUCGGUGACCCCUCUCUCUCUGGCUCCCGAUCGUUAGUGCGAUGCUCCCGGUCGUUAAUCCGAUGUCGGCAAUCGGUGUAGACCUUCCUUGGGAUGUGCGGCUGAUCCCGGGGUGCCGGAACCACUAACUCUCUGGAAGGUGCGGGCGUUGCCUUCGCUACCUUCGCGCGUUUGUUCUUCCCGCGGGGGUUCUGCAAGCUCUCGGAAGAGCGAGUUGUCUGUAUGUUCUGCGGUUGCUGCUGGUGAAGCAACUGCUGGGUUUCGUCCACUUUGGACGAAAGGAAGUUGUUGUGUUCCUGAAGCCUCGCCAUGUCCUUCCGUAAGGAUGCGAUUUGGGCUGCCAUCUCGACUUCGGCAGCCGUUUGGGUAGCGGGGGCAUUUCCGAAGGGAGUGUUGGAGGUAGCGCUGGGCUAGCUCCGCUCUGCCUUCCGAACGGUACCCCCUCUUCCGCUAGGAACGUUUGUUUUGAAGUGGUCCCCAUGUGCUUAGGGGAUUGUGGGUUGAUGAUUUUUUGGUUUCCCACAGACGGCGCCAAACUGUUGAUGCGAAAAAGUGGUUUGAUACGUAAUUCGUCAACUUAGUCAAAAUGUCCCUUCGGUAGGUCCCCGUCCUUGGUAAGUGGUCCACUCCAGAGGGUCAAGUACCUGCAAAAGGACGCGUUCGGUAAAUCCUUGGGGUACCGGUGCGGUAUCGGCCGAAGGCUCUCCGAUGCCUAAAUGAGUACGGAUUUAGUAAGGUUAACUGACAGAUCACACGAUAGCGUACCGUUAGUUCUUCUUCUUCCCUUUUGGGGAUAUGGGUCUCCUUAUAUAGACCUUGGGAGGUGUGCUUUGUGCUCAUUUUUCCGAUGUGGGACUCCAGGCAUGGAUUGUGAACAUGACACGUGUCUGUUGGUAAAAAGGGCCAAGAUAUAUAGCUUCGGUAGUGAGCAUGCCGUAGGGGCCCUGUGAUCAGAGUGGAUCCUGUCCACGUGUCCGGUGGAAAUAGGCCGUUUAAUUAGGUAUAAACACCUGGUAAGGAAUAAGCAUGGCUAUUUACGAAACUAUAAUAUGAACAACACUGAGAAACACAAGUAUGGCCAUUUCAAACAGACUACAAAUAACUUCGUAUUCCAACAAUGAAUCAACAGCACCCAUGGCCAUAUACGUUUGCAGCAUCUGAAGGUAGAUCAUCUAAUUAAUGUUAGAAGGAUAAUAGUUUCUAAAGUUCUUUAUUAAAAAAAUCAAUAGACAACCACCAGAGACAAAUUUUGUUUUGGAGAAGAUGAUUAUUCUCAAUUCUUGACAGCUGCAUAAUGCUAAAAUAUGAAUAUGGUUUGAAUACUUUACUUUAGGUUAGUUGUAUUCUUCUUCAUAAAGAGGUAUAUAUGAGUUUACAAGGUGCUUUAUAAGGAAAUAGAUACAGUUAAUUACCAUGGUAUACAAAGUGACUUAGAGACAAAAACUCAGAGACCGACUUGACUUUCACCAUGCGGCUUCUGGAAGUGCAAAUGAACCAUGCACAAGACUUUUAGAGUGAGCUCUUUGGACGUGGACUUGUUAAAACAUGAAAGGUUUUGUGUUGAUUUUUCUCAAUCAUACAAUCCGUUAAUAUACAAAUUUAUGUACACGAACACUACUAAGGAAUGCAAAGACUUUAAGAUCAUACAAACUACAAGUACUUGUUGAGAGUAUUUAGUCCAUGUUUUUUUUUUAAAAAAAUGCAGACAUUCAUUUUGUAUUUUAUUUUCCGUUCAUGUUUUUUUAUGGUUUAUCAAACUCAUAUAAAUAUGAUACAUAAAGCAAAAAAUAGAGAGAGAAUAGUAAAACAUUCAAAAAAUUAAAAAUUGUUCUUACUUCAUUUUUUUUUGUUGGAAUGCAUUUAUUACACAUUGAAACUUUUCAUUAAAUAAGCAUAAUAUAGUAAAUAUAUAUAUAUAUAUAUAUAUUAGAUGGGGACCUAUUUUCUUGGGACACAACUUGACAGGACCCGAUCCAAAUUCCACUUUGGAAUCCGAGCCAUACCCUGUGUGUGUCCGACACUUGGCGAAUGUCGUUUUCCGGCGAGCUCCGGCCACGGAAACUCCGACGAAGGGUCAGAAAAUGACGGCGGUCGAGUGGUGGUUCGUUUGGUACCAACGGCGGAGAUCGGCUCCAAGCGUGGUGGCCGUGGCGACGAUGAGAAGGGAGGAAGGUCGGCUGGCGCGGGCUGAUCGGGAGGAGAGAGAGAAAAGAGAGAAAUUGAUGGGGGAAGAAAGAGAGAGAGAGAGAAACAGGUUUUAUAAAUCUAAUUUUCCAAUUUACCAUUUUCCCCCUCAUGAUAUUUUAAUCGUAUUGUCUUCAUGAAAAUUCCGAUUUGAGCUUACUUCGUGUCUAUGAACUCGUGUCGUCGUGCUCUACGGAACGGUGUAUGGGGAAUUGUCAAAUUCCUUUUCGGUCAAAAAGUCAACUUUGAGUUCAUAAGGUAGUCAAAGGGCAAAAUUGUCUUUCCGUAUAAUAAAUUACUCAUUAAAUAUGAAUUUUAGGUUUGGGUCAUUACACAACUUCUUUAUCUUUUUUUUUAGUUGGAUUCUUAAUUCUUAAAUUAAAAAAACGAAAAUAAAAAACCAAUUGGCACCAAGGUAGUAUAUAUGAAACAUCGUCAGAAAUUAAAUUUUUUUUUUUUUGAAAUGUUCAUAAAAACAAACAAACAAAAAUAUAUACAUACAUUAACAAAAAAAAUAAUUUUCAAAAUAAAUGCACAGUGCCCAAGGAAACUCCUUAUAUAAUGUAUGUCUCUUGAAAAUUGUCAACAAAUCCGCUGUAGCAAUACUUACAAAUGGAUAAUUGUAAUCCGGGUUCGAAUCCCGACAGUGGAAUUCUUUUUAAGUUAGAUGUAUGACAGGAUUCGCCCCAAAUUCCUCGGAACCCGAAAUGAAUCCUGUGAAAUUCCGACAUCACCCCGAUGCCGGGCCCACUUAUUAAAGACCAAGACUUUCUACCAAAAUUUUGGCAGAGUCUCCCCUGUAAUUUGAACAAUCCCAAAAAUUUCAACAUGCAUAAAAUACAUGUCAUAUCCCAACAAGCAGCACGCACAAUAUAAUUUCAUGCAAUUCACAAACUCGACCUUAGGCCCUCACAUGAACCGAAGCGAAACCAAACUACCAACAAAGCCCUUACGCCAAAAAUAUUGCCUUAAUAUGGUAUAACAACACCCUUAAUUCAUCUCUCUAUACGCCUGAAAUUCCAACGCUACGUAUGAGGUCUGUCUCAACGCCGAAAAAUCCUACGCCACGCGAGACCUAACAAAUCACAUAAUCUCCUCAUACGCCGAAAAUUCUAACGCCACAUAUGGGGUCUGUCAUCAUUGAUUUAGGAUAUUAUCUUGAGAGAUAUUAUCAUCAAUUAGUGAUUUAAUCCCAAUCAAAUUGUUAAUUGACUUAAUCUCUCCAUUUAAGGGAAAAAAUAUCUUCCUUCAAAAUAAGAAGAUAUUCGUUGAAAAUCUCUUCAUUUAGGUAAUUCUGAAACGUAGCAAGAAUUCCCCAAAACCUCUCUCUCUCUCUCUCUCUCUCUCUCUCUCUCUCUCUCUCUCUCUCUCUCUCUCUCUCUCUCUCUCUCUCCGCCCUAGCCGACGGCCUCUCUCACUCUUAUCUCUCACACACGGCCAAGUGCCACCACACACGGCUUUGGCCACUCGACUCUCCCCGUGAGAAAAAGCUCCGUACCAUUUUUAGCUAUUGCAACAUAUUUUCUCCUAUUGCCACAUAUUUUCUCAAAGAUCCAAUCGAACUAACUUAGGCAUCGGAGAGAUUUUGACGAACACCUACCAGGUGUGGUUUUUUACUCUUGUUUGUUUCGCAGUAACCGAGCAAGAGAGAGAAGGAAGCUCAAAAAGUGAAAGAUCCACAUGCGAAUAUUCUUCCUUGAGAAAUUUGCAUAAACAGAAGACGUGUGACAUAUUCUUGGUUCAAAAAUAUCCAUCCGAAACAAGGAAAAAAUUGUAAAACCAAACUUAAGAAAUUAUACCUCUAUUCUGGUCAGCAUGAAUGGAUAUGUCCAAACAAAUUUUAAUCCAACAAGAAAAAUCAGAGGAGAAGGUUUAGGGUUUCACAAACAGAUCUACCAAGUAAAACGAAUUAACAUAUGAUAUGGGCAAAAUAAAGAAAUGAGACCAAGAUAAAACUUCUAGAAAGGUGACAAAUUGUCCUUUGAAGUAAUUUUACGUAAGCAUAACAAUUCGAAAUAAAAGAUAAACAAACAAAAAUCCUAUGAAUGGAUGGGACGAGGAAAAUUGAAGCUGACAAUAAAGGUUACUAACUUACUUGGGAUGUAUCCAAAGAAAAAAAAAAACAUGAAGGGAAAUACUAGUUUUCCUUCCUUGUUUUACUUUUCUCCCUCAUUAAUUGUACUUGGCUUUAGCUCCAUGCAUCUUCUCCUCCUUCACGGCAGCUUGGCCCAUCAAUCACGCUAUGAAAACGGCAUUUUUCCAUUUCUUCCAGUCUGGCUACUUUGACAUUUCUUGGGUUUCAUUAUCUAAAUUAAUAUCUAGUACUUGUUUUUUUAUGUACUCGUGCCAAUAUUCAAAGUACCUGCUAUCAUAAAUAAACCUAUGUAAACAGGGACUAAACGUUUAUGGCCCGUUUCCUAGUGUUGAUGACCUAUCAUCUAAUGUUUGAGUUUAAUCCAAAUCUCUCUAGAAGUUUUUUUUUUUUCCUUUCUCUAUGAGGGUUCAAACGUGACACAUCUCGUAACUCGUCUAUAAGUUAAAGUCAAUUUCUAUUGCGCUAGAGACCCUAUUGGCCUCUAAAAGAUCUUUUAGUUACUUCUUUAUCCAAUUGAUCACUUUUUCUACUUUAAUUUUUCUGGAUUGAAUUUGAAUUUUCUGUAAUAUAUAUUUUUUUGGGAUAAUGUAAACAGGGGACUUCACUUCAUUGCAGGUCAAUGACGAUAUCUAGGAACAAUCCAUCAGUCUAGGACCAAACAUUAUGAGUCAUUUGUUAGUUUCCUCAGGGUCCUGUUUACGUGUUGCCAUGGCAGCUUAGACCCGUAAUCAAAAUCGCAAGAAAAGAUCAAAAGUUAGGCACGCUACAAGCCCUAUAUAAAGCACCCCCUGGCACCCAAGUUUAUCAUCAUCCUCCUCACCAAAUUACAAAUUAAUUAAGUUUAUCAGCAACAGCAAGCCAAUUAAGACAUUUCCAAGACGAUGAUGAAGAGCCAAGCAGCUCUCCUCGGCCUCACCACCUUGGCCAUCCUCUUCUUCUCAGGUAUAAUAUUAUACAAACUUUGUUAGUCGAUCAGAUAUCGAUCAAAAGUUUAUUUUUACAAUUGUCUCUGUAAUCUGUUUUCUUAUGAUCACGUUGAAUAUGCAGGUGCACAUGCAGCUAAAAUCACUUUCACAAACAAAUGUUCCUACACUGUCUGGCCAGGAACCCUAACCGGUGACCAAAAACCUCAAUUAUCACUCACCGGGUUCGAGUUAGCAACCGGAAUUAGCAACUCUGUGGACGCUCCGUCCCCGUGGUCCGGUCGCUUCUUUGGCCGAACCAGGUGCUCCACGGACGCGUCAGGAAAGUUCACUUGUGCCACAGCAGAUUGUGGCUCUGGCCAAGUCUCAUGCAACGGUAACGGCGCAGUUCCGCCAGCUACAUUAGUAGAAAUCACUAUUGCUGAGAACGGGGGUCAAGAUUUCUACGAUGUUAGUCUUGUUGACGGCUUCAACUUGCCCAUGUCCGUGGCUCCACAAGGCGGCACCGGAGAGUGUAAGGCCUCAACUUGCCCUGCCGAUAUUAACAAAGUGUGCCCGGCUGAGUUACAAGUGAAGGGAUCUGAUGGAAGCGUAAUUGCGUGCAAGAGCGCUUGCUUAGCAUUAAACCAGCCACAAUACUGUUGCACUCCCCCUAACGACAAGCCGGAGACAUGCCCUCCCACUGACUACUCUAAGCUCUUCAAGACCCAGUGCCCUCAAGCUUAUAGCUAUGCUUAUGAUGACAAGAGCAGCACCUUCACAUGCAGUGGUAGACCUGACUACCUCAUCACAUUCUGCCCAUAAGCAUACAUAUAUAUAUAAUGGGAUCUUAUAUGUUAUGACAUUAUACAUAUAGUUCCCAAUAACAGAGAAGAAUAAAUAAAUUUCCUGGAUCUUGACACAUUGUUGAUGUCAAGAAUUUGUAAUGCAGACGAUCAAAUAAAGGUAUAAAUGUUUGGAUUUUAUUUUCAUUCAUUUCCUUAUACGUGCAUUAUUUCCAGCAACAAAGCAUGAGAAUAAUAUAAAGAGAGUUAGCUGCAAACUGAAAUGGUUAUCAAACGGGAGUUUAAAUACGGAUUGUAAUUUUCUGUCAUGGCUGGUAAGGAAUAAGCAUGGCCAUUUACGAAACUAUAAUAUGAACAACACUGAGAAACACAAGUAUGGCCAUUUCAAACAGACUACAAAUGACUUCGUAUUCCAACAAUGAAUCAACAGCACCCAUGGCCAUAUGCGUUUGCAGCAUCUGAAGGUAGAUCAUCUAAUUAAUGUUAGAAGGAUAAUAGUUUCUAAAGUUCUUUAUUAAAAAAUCAAUAGACAACCACCAUGACUGUUUUGGGAAAUUAGAGACAAAUUUUGUCUUGGAGAAGAUGAUCACUUCUCAAUGCUUGACGGCUACAUAAUGCUAAAAUAUGAAUAUGGUUUGAAUACUUUAUUUUAGGUUAGUUGUAUUCUUCUUCAUAAAGAAGUAUAUAUAGGAGUUUGUUUUACAAGGAAAUAGAUACAGUAAAUCACCAUGGUAUACAAGGUGAUCACUUAGAGACAAAAAUUGAAAUGGUUCCCAAAGCCUUCCCUUAGCAAGCAGGUACCAUUGCAAGAAUGGUUCCAUAGUCAAUAAUGACAAGACCCGCAAGGAUGAUCUCGAAUUUAUAUGCAUGUUUUAAUUUCAUGGGCCUGUUGUUCUUCUACUACAGUAAUUAGAAUUUGUUUACAAGUGUGAAUUUUCCCAGAGCAAUUUCAGGGACCGACUUGACUUUCACCAUGCGGCCUCAGGAAGUGCAAAUGAACCCCGCACAAGACUUUUAGAGGGAGCUCUUUGGACGUGGACUUGUUAAAACAUGAAAGGUUUUUGUGUUGAUUUUUCUGAAUCAUACAAUCCGUUAAUAUACAAAUUUAUAUACACGGAGACUACUAAAGAAUGUAAAACUUUAAGAUCAUACAAACUACAAGUACUUGUUGAGAGUAUUUAGUCCAUGUUUUUUUUUUUUUAAUCCAGACAUUCAUUUUGUAUUUUAUUUUUUUUAUCGUUUAUCGAACUCAUAUAAACAUGAUAUAUAAAGCAAAAAGUAGAGAGAGAAUAGUAAAACAUUCAAAAAAGCAAAAAUUGUCCUUGCUUCAUAAUUUUAUUUCUUUGUUGGAAUGAAUUUAUUACGCAUUAAUUAAACUUUUCAUUAAAUAAGCAUAAUAUAGUAAAUUAAUAUAUAUAUAUUUUUUAAAAUGGGGACCUAUUUUCAUGAGAUACUUCUUCUUCUUCUUUUUUUUUUUUUUUGUUAGAUUCUCUUUCUUAAUUCUUAAAUUCAAAAAAUGAAAAUAAAAAACCAAUUGGCACCAAGGUAGUAUAUGUGAAACAUCGUCGGAAAUUUAAUUGUUUUUUAUUGAAAUGUUCAUAAAAACAAACUAACAAAAUAUAUACAUACAUUAGAAAAAAAAAAAUUUGUUUCAAAAUAAAUGCACAGUGCCCAAGGAAUCUCCUUAUGUAACUUAUGUCUCUUCAAAACUGUAAAAAAAAAAAUCCGCUAUAGCAAUACUCACAAGUGGAUAAUUGUAAUCCGGGUUCGAAUUCCGGCAGUAGAAUUCUUUUUAAGUUAGAUGUAAAUGUGAUCCAUUUUAUAUCAGUUAUAAUAGUUGUCGUAAUGAGCUUCUUUUUAAGUCUCUGUUUAUAUAGCAGCUUCUUCCCUAACUUGAGUAGAAUCCAAUUUGCGGCUAAGAUCACUUAAGAUGCAAGACUUUUAGUCACAAAGUAAAUAUUCCUAUUUCAGUCCUUGUCAAAACUUUGGCAAAAAAAAAAAGAAAAAUGAUUCCUAUCAAAACAUAGAGCAUCCACAAUGGGAGGGUGUAUAUGAGGGUGUAUGUUAAAUAUACAUCCCUUGUCACCGGAAUCAUCUGCAAUGGGGAGAUGAAAAGGGUUGUAAAUAUACAUCACCACCAUGGAGAUGUAAAAAAAUGUACAUUUACAUCUAUUUUUACAUCUUUUGCAAGUGGGACCCACCCGAAAAAAGAGAAGAAAAAUGAAGAAAAGUCAGCAUAAAAGGCUGGGACCCGCGGCUACAGUAAUUGCUAGAAAAAAAAAAUCACAUGUUGUUUGCUUAUUUGUGGUUUUCAUGCUCCCCCAAUGUUUUUGGAUGAUCAUAUCUUCUCCGAAUUUCAAUAUUUUUAGGGCUAUUUGUUUGAAAAAUUAAAAUUAACCUCAUACAAAAAAAAAUUAAUUUUAUAAAGUAAACACAAAAUACAAAUUUAACACAAAAACGAAUUAAGAAAAAUAAAACAAUUACACAUCUUAGAUUUACAUCUUCUCCUAUUGGAGCCAAAAACGUAUUUACAUCCCCUGGAGGUGUAAAGGGGAUGUAAAAGUGGCUUUACACCCCCGAAUUUACGCCCCUUACUGUGGAUGCUCUCAGUGCAUAUGAUGUACAGAUAAUUCACCAAAAAAAAAAAAAAAGGAAAUUAGUAUUGACAGUAUUCCACAUGGGAAGAUGGAAACGUUGUAAUAUAGUGCUUAAACUUCUCCACCUAUUGUCAAUUAUUUUUACGUUGAAUGCUGAUAUCUUAAAGAUAACGCUACUCAAUCAGGUUCUUAUUUGACUCUCAACAUUGAAAAAUGCAUUACAAACUAAAGUUCAUUUUAUCGUGGAAUAUAUAUAUUUUUUCAUGGACCCUGAAAUUUAGAAAACAAUUAAAAAGGCAAAAAAGAAAAAGAAAAAUAGGCAAUUUAGGGUCCUUUCAGUAAUGUUUUCGGAGAAUAUAUUCAGAAAAUGAAAAUGAGAAAACGAAUAUACAUUUUCAAGAUUCGAGAAUGCAUAUGGUAGACUAAGUAAAUAUUUUUCGAGAACGAAAACAGUAAAAACGUGUCUAAUACGAACAUAUGAAAAUGACAAAAAUACUGAAUUGGCAACAGUAUUAUAAAAAUUAUUUUCAACAUCAUAAAUCAAAUAUUGUGUGUAGCACAUAUCUUAUCAGACUUACUAAUAGGCCAAAAAAUUUCUUAAAAAUUGUGCAAUGGUCUAAUUAAUUAUCAUUAUCCAAUACAUGCUAGAUAACCCAAAAUGGGCUCAUGUCCUCCAAGAUAUCAUCCUACAUCAUAGAUCAAAUCUCUUAUAGUCUCACAAAUAUUUGAAAAAUAUGCAAAAUAAAAUUUAAAAUCAUGUUGUCAUGAGCACUAAAUAAAACCCCACCAUAAAUUUGCUGCGAUAUAUUGUCUCUAAUGUCGCCUAUUUGUGCAAUAUUUCCUUUUGACAUAUCUAUAUUCGGUGGUAUUGUAUUUUUUGAGUCAAUGAUCAUGUCUUCAACUUGGAACUCUUCGAUCAUCCUAUCACGACCAACUUCUUUUCUUAUAAAAUUAUGCAACACACAACAUACAAUAGGAACUCAUUGUUGCCUUCUCGGAGGAUAAUUAGGCAUCAAUUUCAAAAUUAGAAAAAGAGCUUUCAAAACACCAAAACAUCGCUCAAUUACAUUACAUAAUGAGGAGUGCCUAUAGCUCAACAAUUCCAUAGGACCUCUUGGUGUUUGUCGAGGUCCUCUAUCAUCACGCAAAUGAUAUCUCUCACCUCGAUAGGGUGCCAAGAAUUCAGGCACUUUUGAAUAUCCAACAUCCACAACAAUACCCUGUAAUUGUAAUUUAUUACUUGCAAGACACAAAUAAUGUACAUAAUAAUAUUAAUUGUAAUCUUAUGUUUAUACCUUCUUCUGGAAAAGGAAACUCUCAUUUUCUGGCCUUAUCACUGCAUCUAUGAACACCCUAGAGUCAUUUGCAGUUCCUUCCCAGCCCGUAUAAACAAAAGUGAACAUCAUGUCCAAAGAGCAAGCACACAUGGCCUUUUGAGUAAUAAGAAUCUUCCUACCAUGAUAUGAGGUUUGCUUUUGAGUUGGUGCCUAAGCAACAACAUGAGUUCCAUCAAUUGCACUAACACACUUCUGCGAUAAAUUCAUAUAUUUACAAACUAUAAAGUAAAUAUAAUUUAAAAUAUAUAAUUAUAAUAAUAAAAUAAAUAAAAUUAACAAUUGAUUUCUCACCUCAAAAUAAGGAUAAUACUUUAGGUUAUUCAAAAUUUCAGAAGGUGUUUCCUCUCGACUUUGUGGCCUUAUAAUACGUGGUGCUAAAGCACAUAAAGCUCCCAAAACACACUAAAAUUGUCUAUGAAUUGUGUCUUUAGAUCGUUGGAAAUGAUCAACAGCCAGUCACAUGCAGAUAUUAUGAGACACUAUAAAUAUGAAAAUUGCCAUUGCCUUAUAAGUACCCACAUUUCUAUCAUUCUGUGGCAAAUUUAAACUCUCAAGUGUGUAACGCAACCUUUGGAAUACAUGUUUGUACAUGUGAAACGAGUCUUAAAUCCUAUCUGCUGGAUGCCCAUUCAAACAUAUUCAUGCUCGGAUAAAACAGAAUUAUGACAUGGAGUUCUAUGUACAUAUGAUUGCCAAUAUUCAUAAAUAUGCAUACAAAUUAUCAUAUGAUGCACCAUUUCCUUCGGAUCUGAAUCACUAUCGGAGUGAUUGUCUUCAUUCCUUAUAGACAUGUCUAGUACCUUCAAGUAUUCAAAUUCAAUAAAGAAUUAUGCAUACAAAUUAAAGUCACAAAAAUCUAAAAUAUGCAUACAAAUUAAAGUCACAAACAUCAAACAGAAUAAGAAGAACAAUUCAUUAGUAUUCUCUCAACAAUAAACAUAAGUAGCAAUCCUAAAGACUAGCCAACCAAACUCUCCUCCUUUCUUCUGGCAUUAUAACAAAGAUUUUCCUCCAUUCAACAAUCACUAUCUUUUCUAGCAUCUUGUCGAUGUAUUGUUAUCAAUAUCUCCCAUUGUCUCAACAAUUCCUAUGCAUUCUUCAAUCGAAUACAUUUCCUUAGAGGUGCUAGAUGCCUCAAGCAAUGGCCACAGCAGCAAGCAACAACAGCAACAAUAGAAGCUACUCUGCCAUCUUCUGCCGCUUCCAUCUGUCUAGCCGUCAUGUCACGACGACAACCCGCAAACAAAAAGAAAAAGAAAAAGGCCACGCUAGCCGCCGCUACCAUCGAUACCGAUCAUGACAACAACUAACCGGGCCCACCUAGUUGGUACUCAUGUCGAAGAAGAAAAGAAGAAGAAAAAAAAAUCAAAUUCGAUUUACCUUGGGGUGUACGGCAACUCCUCUCUUCAACAAGCAGUACAAUUCUCCAAGAUCUCUCUCAAACUAGAAAGCAAAGAAGACAAGUUUUCAAUUUGAAGAAGAGCGAAAAGAAGCUUUGUAUUUAUAAAGAUUGGGCAUCCUAGGUCAAGAAGGAAGCACGAGUUCAUUUCCAUUAGGAGCUCAACUCAAGAAAAAGUCAAAAGCCUACUCCAAUUAGGAGCCCAAUUGGCAAAAGGAUUCCAACUCAAAGAAGAAAGCCCAAAUGCAGUUGGAAAGCCCGAAAAGUAUUUCUCACCUCCUCUACACCUCACAAGCGCCAUGCAAAAGUUGGGGGACAUUUGUGGGAGAAAAUAAUCAAGUUUCCAAUCAUAAGGUGCCACAUGGACAAGAAGAAUAUCUCCUAUGUCAAUUAAUUGAGCCCAUUUAUUUGGCUAAUUAGUUGAUCUAAAAAUAGGGAUAUUAUCUUAAAUAUGGGAUAUUAUCUUUAUUUGGGAAUAUAAUUACCAAUUAAAAGAUAAUAUCAUCAAUUUAGGAUAUUAUCUUAAUUGGGAUAUAUUAUCAUCAAUCAAUGAUUUAAUCCCAAUCAAAUUCUUAAUUGACUUAAUCUCUCCAUUUAGGGGAAAAAAUAUCUUCCUUCCAAAUAAGAAGAUAUUCUUUGAAAAUCUCUCCAUUUAGGUAAUUCCGAAACCUAGCAAGAAUUCACCAAAACCUCUCUCUCUCUCGCCGACGGCCUCUCUCACUCUUAUCUCUCUCACACGGCCAAGUGCCACCACACACGGUUCUGGCCCCCUGACUCUCCCCCGGAGAGAAAGCUCUGUACCUUUUUAGUUAUUGCCACAUAUUUUCUCAAAGAUCCAAUCGAACUAACUUAGGCAUCCGAGGGACUUUGGCCAACAACUUCCGGAUAUAGUUUUUUACUCAUGUUUGUUUCGUAGGAACGAGGAAGAGAGAGAAGAAAGCUCAAAAGGUGAAGGAUCUACAUGCGAAUACUCUUCCUUGAGAAAUUUGCAUAAACAGAAGAAGUGUGACAUAUUCUUAAUUCAAAAAUAUCCAUCCGAAACAAGGAAAAAAUUGUAAAACUAAACUUAUGAAAUUAUACCUCUAUUCUGGUCAGCAUGAAUGGAUAUGUCCAAACAAAUUUUAAUCCAAAAAGAAAAAUCAGAGGUGAAGGUUUAGGGUUUCACAAACAGAUCUACUAAGUAAAACGAAUUAACAUAUGAUAUGGGCAAAAUAAAGAAAUGAGACCAAGAUAAAACUUCUAGAAACGUGACAAAUUGUCCUUUGAAGUAAUUUUACGUAAGCAUAACAAUUCGAAAUAAAAGAUAAACAAAUAAAAAAUCCUAUGAAUGUGGAUGGGACGAGGAAAAUUGAAGCUGACAAUAAAGGUUACUUGGGAUAUAUCCAAAGAAAAAAAAAGAAGAGAAAUACUACUUUUCCUUCCUUGUUUUACUUUUCUCCCUCAUUAAUUGUACUUAGCUUUAGCUCCAUGCAUCUUCUCCUCCUUCACAGCAGCCUAGGCCAUCAAUCACGCUAUGAAAAUGGUUACGUGGCGCACGCCUGGUUGUGUAUGGACUGUUUUUCAAAAUCACGAGUGUUCUUAAUCAACGUUUUAAUUUGAUAUGGUUGGCAAUUUUCCAAUUCUCCCAGUCUUGCUACUUUGACUAAAUUAAUAUCUACUUGUUUUUUUAUGUUUGCAAGUAAUAUGUACUCGUGCCAGUAUUCAAAGUACCUGCUAUUACAAAUAAACCAAUGUAAACAGGGACUAAGCGUUUAUGGCCCGUUUCCUAGUAUUGAUGACCUAUCAUCUAAUGUUUGGGUUUAAUCCAAAUCUCUCUAGAAGUUUUUUUUAUUUUUUUUUUAUUUUUUUAUGAGGGUUCAAAUGUGACACCACUUGUCUACAAGUUAAGGUCAUUUUCUAUUGCGCUAGAGACUCUAUUGGCCUCUAAAAAAUCUUUUAGUUACUUCUUUAUUAAUGUAUACACGUGACUAGAGACCAUCUAAUAGUUAUCACAUUUUCCAUUUACAUGUGUGUCUGUGACUAAGCUAACAAUUGUAACUAUAUAUGUUUAUCCAAUUGAUCACUUUUUCUACACUUAUCUACAUGUGUGUCUGGCCUAUAUGAUGACUUUAAUUUUUCUGGAUUGAAUUUGAAUUUUCUGUAAUAUAAAUUUUUUGGGAUAAUGUGGGGACUUCAUUGCAGGUCAAUGACGUUAUCUAGGACCAAAUAUUACGAGUAAUUUAUUAGUUUCCCCAGGGUCCUGUUUACGUGUUACCAUGGCAGCUUAGACCCGUAAUCAAAAUAGCAAGAAAAGAUCAAAAGUUAGGCACGCUACAAGCCCUAUAUAAAGCACCCCCUGGCACCCAAGUUUAUCAUCAUCCUUCUCACCAAAUUACAAGUUAAUUAAGUUUAUCAGCAAGAGCAACAGCAAGCCAAUUAAGACAUUUCCAUGACGAUGAUGAAGAGCCAAGCAGCUCUCCUCGGCCUCACCACCUUGGCCAUCCUCUUCUUCUCAGGUAUAAUAUUAUACAAACUUUGUUAGGUGAUCAGAUAUCGAUCAAAAAGUUUAUUUUUACAAUUGUCUCUGUAAUCUUUAGUCUUAUGAUCAUGGUUUAAUGUACUUUGAAUAUGCAGGUGCACAUGCAGCUAAAAUCACUUUCACAAACAAAUGUUCCUACACUGUCUGGCCAGGAACCCUAACCGGUGACCAAAAACCUCAAUUAUCACUCACCGGGUUCAAGUUAGCAACCGGAAUUAGCCGCUCUGUGGACGCACCGUCCCCAUGGUCCGGUCGCUUCUUUGGCCGAACCAGGUGCUCCACGGACGCGUCAGGAAAGUUCACUUGUGCCACAGCAGAUUGUGGUUCUGGCCAAGUCUCAUGCAACGGUAACGGCGCAGCUCCGCCCGCUACAUUAGUAGAAAUCACUAUUGCUUCGAACGGGGGUCAAGACUUCUACGACGUUAGUCUUGUUGACGGCUUCAA
rnacentral:lncRNA from 1 species